rnacentral:rRNA from 1 species
AUGAAGAAUCAGAAAACCACAGAUUUUAUCAGUGUCUUGACAGAGUUCAUGAAUUUGGCUGAAAGUAUAAAGAGGAGAAUUGGUGAUGCGGAUUACAUCCUACGUCCAUGUACUGAUUGUGCCAAUACAGAGUCACAUGAAGUUGCAGAUGUCCAGAUGCACUUAGUCUCUAGGGGAUUCAUGGAUGGGUAUACACGUUGGACCAGACACGGUGAAGAGGAGGUCAUGGAUGAAGAUACCCAGGGCAGCGAGAUGCCAAACCCCGAUCAGUGUCACAUGGAUGUUGAAUCUAACAUCAGGGCAGAGGCGUCAAGCUACCAAUGGAACACCGGAAAGCCGAAAGGCCCACUGGAAAACCAACACGUCGACACAGAUGACGACGAUCUUGAUAUGCCAGAUUUUGCUGCUAUGAUUGCAGAUUUCGAGGGCCCGGAAAACGAUAUGAUUGGGUACAAGGAUCUGCCAACCAUUGAUGCGGACUCCAAGAAAGAAUUGUAUCCAGGUUGCAAAAAGAAAUAUUCCAGGUUGAGUGCCACCCUGGCGCUACUCAGAUUUAAAGCAGCAAAUGGUCUGUCAAACAAGGGCUUCACAGAGAUGUUAGGUCUUUUCAAAGAAAUUCUUCCGGAAGAUAAUGUGCUCCCUAGAAGCACGAAUGAAGCGAAGAAAAUUGUUUGCCCAUUGGAACUUAAAGUACAGAAGAUACACGCUUGUGUGAAUGAUUGUAUAUUGUACCGUGGUGAGUACAAAGAUUUGCGUGCAUGUCCCACAUGCAAGCAUGCACGAUACAAGCGCAGGAGAGCAAAGGACAAUAUGUGUGAACAAAAAUAUGCAAUCUGGUUUGCGAAUAGCACACGGUUCGUUGAUGAAAGCCGUGUGCCGACCAAACCCCGCCACCCGACCCACGAUCUGAGUCGUGCUUUCUGA